GAAAUGCGAUAACUAAUGUGAAUUGCAGAAUUCAGUGAAUCAUCGAGUCUUUGAACGCACAUUGCGUCCCCUGGUAUUCCGGGGGGCAUGCCUGUCCGAGCGUCAUUGCUGCCCUCAAGCCCGGCUUGUGUGUUGGGCCCUCGUCCCCCGGCUCCCGGGGGACGGGCCCGAAAGGCAGCGGCGGCACCGCGUCCGGUCCUCGAGCGUAUGGGGCUUCGUCUUCCGCUCCGUAGGCCCGGCCGGCGCCCGCCGACGCAUUUAUUUGCAACUUGUUUUUUUCCAGGUUGACCUCGGAUCAGGUAGGGAUACCCGCUGAACUUAAGC
rnacentral:misc_RNA from 1 species